AGUGAACUCUGGCGGUAGGCCUAACACAUGCAAGUCGAACGGCAGCACAGUAAGAGCUUGCUCUUACGGGUGGCGAGUGGCGGACGGGUGAGGAAUACAUCGGAAUCUACUCUUUCGUGGGGGAUAACGUAGGGAAACUUACGCUAAUACCGCAUACGACCUACGGGUGAAAGCAGGUGAUCUUCGGACCUUGCGCGAUUGAAUGAGCCGAUGUCGGAUUAGCUAGUUGGCGGGGUAAAGGCCCACCAAGGCGACGAUCCGUAGCUGGUCUGAGAGGAUGAUCAGCCACACUGGAACUGAGACACGGUCCAAACUCAUAGAGGAGGAAGCAGAGGGGAAUAUUGGACGAUGGGCGCAAGCCUGAUCCAGCCAUACCGCGUGGGUGAAGCAGGCCUUCGGGUUGUAAAGCCCUUUUGUUGGGAAAGAAAAGCAGCAGGUUAAUACCCCGCUGUUCUGACGGUACCCAAAGAAUAAGCACCGGCUAACUUCGUG
rnacentral:rRNA from 1 species